rnacentral:sRNA from 2 species
AUUUUGCGUUAGCGAUUGCAAUGACAUCCUUUUAUGAAGGUUGAAUAAAAGAUAUAAUGAAAAGCGCGACCUUGU